rnacentral:rRNA from 1 species
CNCCUNNGGNUAUCUGCUCAUGGAAAAUUAAAUAGCCGCAAUUUCGUGCUAAGGUAGCAUAAUCAUUUGUCUUUUAAAUGAAGACUAGAACAAAAGAUUUUUCAUUUUAAUAUAUAUCAUUAAUAUAUAAAUCAAAAUUAUUCUUAAAAUUAAAAAAUUUUUAUAUAAAAGAAAGACGACAAGACCCUAUUGAACUUAACUUAAGUUUAACUGGGGCAGUAUAUUAAUUAUAAUUUUAAGUCAAAAUUUUCAUCUAAAUAUCUAUUAUAAAUAAUAAUUAAGUUACCAUAGGGAUAACAGCGUAAUUAAAUUCUAAAGAACAUAUACAAAAUAUACAUUACGACCUCGAUGUUGAAUUAAUAUCCUAGAUAAAGCAAAUUUUAUAAAAGGAAGUCUGUUCGACUUUUAAUUAAUUACAUGAUCUGAGUCAAAACCCNGGAGGA